rnacentral:rRNA from 1 species
CCUACGGGUGGCUGCAGUGGGGAAUCUUGCGCAAUGGCCUAACGGCUGACGCAGCGACGCCGCGUGGAGGAUGACGGCCUUCGGGUUGUAAACUCCUGUUGCCCGGGACGAACAGCCAGUUUCGACUGGUCUGACGGUACCGGGUGAGGAAGCACCGGCUAACUCCGUGCCAGCAGCCGCGGUAAUACGGAGGGUGCGAGCGUUGUCCGGAAUCACUGGGCGUAAAGGGCGCGUAGGCGGUGGGGUAAGCGUGUGGUGAAAGUCCGGGGCUCAAC